GGGUCUCCCUCUGUUGUCCAAGGCUGGAGUGUAGUAGUGCUAUCGCAGCUGACUGCAGCCUCAACCUUCCAGGCUGAAGCGAUCCUCCCACCUCAACCUCCCACGUGGCUGAGACUACAGGUGCUUGCCACUAUGCCCAACUAAUAUUUGGAAUUUUCGUAUACGUGGAUUCCAGAGGGGUGACAGCGAAACGUGGGACCAUCCAGUUGCAGGAAAACAAGCUUAACACGCCCACUGAUUCUACAUUAUGCUCCUACCUCCCGGCAGCCUCUCCAGGCCCAGAACUUUCUCCAGUCAGCCUCUACAGACCAAGAUCAUGACUCACAAUGGCCUAUUUAGGCCCAUACCCUACGUCACGGCAGCCUCCACAGAUGAGGCUACUGCCUCACAACAGCCUCCACAGGCACAGCUCCAUCGUUACAAUGGCCUCUUUAGACCCAGCUCCUGCCUCCCAGCCUUCUCUCCAGGCCCUGAACUUUCUCAAGUCGACCUCACCAGGCCCAGGUCAUGCUUCUUUGCAGCCUCUCCAGGCCCAGCUCCUGCAUCUUGGUGGCCCCUCCAGGCCCAGCCUCUGCCUCCCGUCAGCCUCUACAGUCCCAACGUCUGCCUCACAGCAGAUUCUUCACGCCCAGCAUCUACCUCACUGUGGACCCCCCAAGCCAAGCUCCCAACCUUUCAGCAGCUUCUACACACCCAGCUCCUGCCACCCAGUGGCCUCUUUAGGCCAAGCUCAUGCUUCACAAGGGCCUUUCCAGGCCCAACUUUUGUCUCAUGGCAACCUUCCCUGGCCAGAUUCCUGCCUGUCUCCCAGCAGCCUAGACAGGCCCAGGUCUUGCCUCACACUGGCCUCUCUACAUCCAGCUUAUGCCUCACGGUGGCCUCUCCACGCCCAACUCCUGUCCCAGGACGUCAUCUCCGGGCCCAAAACUUACUCAAGUCAGACUCUCUAGUCCCAACUACUGCCUCCUGGUGGCCUAUGAAGGCCCAAAAUCUCCUCAAGUUGACCUGUCCAGGCCCAGCUCCUGCCUCCUGUCAGCGUCUACAGGCCCAACCUCUGCCUCAUGGGGGCUUCUCCAGACCCACCUCUUCCUCUUGGCUGGGUCUACAGGCACAACUGCUGCCUCACAACAGCCUUUUUUGGCCCAGUUCCUGUCCAGCUCAUGGCGGCCAAUGUAGGCCCAAAACUUCCUCAAGUCAAACUCUCCAGGCCCACCUUCUGCUUCCCGGUGGCAUCAACAGGCCCAGCUUUGACUUGAGAACAGCCUCUGCAGGCCCUGCUCUUGCCUCCCAGGGGCUUUUUCCAGGCCCAGCUCUUGCCUCAUGGCAGCUGCCCCAGGCCAAAUUUCUGCCUGCCUGCCAGCAGCCUCAACAGGCACAGCUCCUCCCUCACAGUGGCCCAUUUAGGCCCAACUCAUGACUGUGAGGCCAUUUCCAGGCCUAG
rnacentral:lncRNA from 1 species